rnacentral:rRNA from 1 species
UGGGGAAUUUUGGACAAUGGGGGAAACCCUGAUCCAGCCAUGCCGCGUGCGGGAAGAAGGCCUUCGGGUUGUAAACCGCUUUUGUUAGGAACGAAAAGGCUUUGACGAAUAAUCAGAGCUGCUGACGGUACCUAAAGAAUAAGCACCGGCUAACUACGUGCCAGCAGCCGCGGUAAUACGUAGGGUGCGAGCGUUAAUCGGAAUUACUGGGCGUAAAGCGUGCGCAGGCGGUUGGGUAAGACAGAUGUGAAAUCCCUGAGCUUAACUUAGGAAUAGCAUUUGUGACUGCUCGACUGGAGUGUGUCAGAGGGAGGUGGAAUUCCAAGUGUAGCAGUGAAAUGCGUAGAUAUUUGGAAGAACACCGAUGGCGAAGGCAGCCUCCUGGGAUAACACUGACGCUCAUGCACGAAAGCGUGGGGAGCAAACAGG